rnacentral:rRNA from 1 species
ACUCAAAGGAAUAGACGGGGGCCCGCACAAGCGGCGGAGCAUGCGGAUUAAUUCGAUGCAACGCGAAGAACCUUACCUGGGUUUGACAUACGCCGGAAAGCUCUAGAGAUAGAGCCCCUUUUAGUCGGUGUACAGGUGGUGCAUGGCUGUCGUCAGCUCGUGUCGUGAGAUGUUGGGUUAAGUCCCGCAACGAGCGCAACCCUCGUUCCAUGUUGCCAGCAGCAGCUCGUCGCUCCUUGUGGGUGGCGAGGUGGCUGGGGACUCAUGGGAGACUGCCGGGGUCAACUCGGAGGAAGGUGGGGAUGACGUCAAGUCAUCAUGCCCCUUAUGUCCAGGGCUUCACGCAUGCUACAAGGGCCGGUACAAAGGGCUGCGAUCCCGUGAGGGGGAGCGAAUCCCAAAAAGCCGGUCUCAGUUCGGAUUGGGGUCUGCAACUCGACCCCAUGAAGUCGGAGUCGCUAGUAAUCGCAGAUCAGCAACGCUGCGGUGAAUACGUUCCCGGGCCUUGUACACACCGCCCGU